ensembl:lncRNA
GAGAGAAAGCAAGGGGAGAACACAGACAUAACAGGCUGGGGGAAACAUGGAAUAAACACAAAGAGAGACGAGAGCUCAUAAAUAGACAGAGGGGCACAAGGGGGUAAGAGUCACAAAGGGAAAAAACACUUAGGGAACACCACAAUAGGACACCUCAGAAAACCUGGCCUAAAUAAGGAGCGAAAAUACAAGGAACCAAGAAUACUGGGCCAACAUGGCCCAGGACCAUGACAGAACUGAAUCCUGUUUAGAAGAUACAAUGCCGGUUUUUCAAAGCCGUGAAUAAAUAUUAGAGGGAAAAUUAGUGAGGGUUGAAGGGGUAGAACAGCUUUGAUUUUUUGAUCUUUAGAAGAAGUGGUUAUAAUGUAGGCUUACACAUACAGAUAUUACAUAGGAGGUAUUUUUAGGAUAAAGGGGGAGCUUAUAAAUAGAAAUGAUUUUUAUACAUAUUGCAUUUUGUGCUUUUAAAGGAGUUGUGGCUCAAAUUUGUCUCUGGAGGGUCACGAGCCUUUGGCUAGCGCUAUGAUUAGCCAAUCUACUGUGAGGAUAAUAUGAGUUCAUGAAGGAUUGCACACGCUUACAGACACAGAGUUAAGAAACACACAUGACAGUAUUGAUUCCAGGCAAAAGGCCUUAAAUUCAUUUAGCUUUUAACUGAACUUAAAGAAGGACCAAAGAGGAAGGAAAGCAUAUAUUUUGGUUAAGUCUGAUAAAUUAGAAUUAGAAGGUAUUGUUACAUUAAAGGAGCAAAAUGAAAUAAAAAGGCUAUACCAAAAUGGGUUAUAACAUAGGAAAUGUGAGGUUAAAAUGAAGUCAACACAUAGGAGUUGUUUUAAGGCAGCAUUUAGCUAUGAUGAAAUGUAUACAGGAGUAAUUGCUUAUAUGCUUAAACUUAAUUGAUUAAAGUGGUUGUUUUCUUUUAGAGUAGAGGAACUUGCAGCAGCGACAAUUUGUGCACAGGAUGUUGAUGAUCAGAUAAGGGAAAAUAGAGCGAGCAACCGGACGUGAAAGCAGGGUUUAAAGAGUUUUAAAGUGAUGAGGAACGUUGAAGAAUGUACAUAAAUAUAAGCCAAUAAGUUAAGAAGAUAAUUAGGAUUAGGCUUUUGAUUAAAGAGUCCCAAAUAGGAUAGGUUAGGGAGAUGCAGGAAAAGGUGUUUUGUUUCUUUUGCAGAAGAUCGAUCUCGGCGACCACAGGAGGGGCGAGGAUCCUGGAGAUCUCGAGGUUCGAGACCACCAGAGGAGGGUCUGCGUGAGGACACAAUGUAUUGUGACCUCUGGUGUUCCAGAGGUCAUGAGAGGGAGUGUCGAGAAGGGAAAUUAUUUUACUGCUAUAGUUAAAUAAUUGUCAUCAUUACCAUUGCAUUAAUAAUAAAAUCUGGAGUAUGAUCAUUGCUUUAACAAUGUAACAGAUAGCUUUAAGAAGGCCUUAAGAUGCUUAUGCACACAGUUAUUAUGUUUAGUAGAGGUUCUUGAUUAAAACAUUUAUUUAGUAAAAGUCAUAUCCAUAGUUUCAGUUCGAUUAUUACACAUACGAGAGUGGUUUCUGUCUCUCUGUCUGGUGAGGGGUCAGGAGCUAGUCGCGAGGUGAAACAGGGUGUAAUUGUGGUUAGCACACAGACGCACACACACACACACUCAGUUAGAGAAUCAUUUAUAGGUGAAAGUUUAAUCAUGUUUUGCUGAUGUUGCAAAGAGCAGUUUGUCGCAGAACUGCUGCGAGCAUCCGGCAGUGACAGGAAGCACCUGUUGUGAAGAUAGGAGACAAUUGUUCUUUUAAACUGUGUCAAAAGUCGUUGUGGUUUUGAUUUGAUCCAUGUAUAAAAUGUGUCUGUGACGUAUGAAGGGGCGUCAGUAAACAAACCCUGAUGCUAUAAAAUAUCUGUUCAUGCUUUGAUUAAGUCGAGGACUACUGGCUGUCUGCGUACAGAGUGUCCUCCCACGCGUGUAUUCAUUAAAAUCAUCGUUUGACUUCA